CCUCGCGCAACAGCCAGAGCUGUGGAGCUCGGUCGCAAUCCAUUUCCUUUCCCCCUUUUCCUUCACCCUACAUAAGAAUCCAGCCACCGUAGUAAGACCAUCGUCCACUUCUCCAUCCGCAUCUUGCUGAAAACGUCGUUGUGGUGAGAGAGGGAGGGCGGUCAAGGAGUAAUUUGGGUCGUCGUCGGUGGUUCUCAUCGAUACUAGGUUUCCGUUCUCGGGGUGUGGCCGAGGAGGGUCGCCAACGCCUCGGGAAGUCGUCCGUGACCGCAAUUGGAAGGCGGGACCCGCGGACCGUGGGCGAUUUCUCGCCGUCGACCGAACUCCAUCGUGGGUAGCCCUGUUCCGUGACCGGGAGUUUCUACUGUGUCACUGCCGACGAGCAAGCAACCGAGGACCCCGGUACUCAGUAGGUGGAAAAUACUGAGC
rnacentral:lncRNA from 7 species